rnacentral:rRNA from 1 species
GGGGGGGGGGGGGGGGGGGGCGGGUGGGGGGGGGGGGAGGGACCGGAGGGGUAGCGGGCGCCUGUGGCGUUAGCGUCGGGCGGGUGAGGAACACGUGGAUAACCUACCUAUGAGACUGGGAUAACUUCGUGAACCCGUAUCUAAUACCGGAUCCUCUCUUGAACCGCAUGGUUCAAUAUUGAAAGACGGUUUUGCUUUCACUUAUAUAUGGAUCCCCGCCGAAUUCUCUAUUUGUGAAGUUACCGGCUUACCCUGGCAACGAUGCGUAUCCGAACUGAGAGGGUGAUCGACCACACUGGAACUGAGACACGGUCCAGACUACUACGGGAGGAAGCAGUAGGGAAUCUGCCGCAAUGGGCGAAAGCCUGACGGAGCAACGCCGCGUGAGUGAUGAAGGUCUUCGGAUCGUAAAACUCUGUUAUUAGGGAAGAACAAAUGUGUAAGUAACUAUGCACGUCUUGACGGUACCUAAUCAGAAAGCCACGGCUAACUACGUG